rnacentral:rRNA from 1 species
GGAGUCUGGUCCGUGUCUCAGUACCAGUGUGGGGGACCUUCCUCUCAGAACCCCUACGCAUCGUCGCCUUGGUGGGCCGUUACCCCGCCGACAACCUAAUCAGACGCAUCCCCAUCCCAUAGCGAUCAAUCUUUGCUCCAACUUAGAUGUCUGCAUUGGAGAACAUAGGGAAUUAAUCCGACUUUCGUCGG